rnacentral:rRNA from 1 species
CCUACGGGUGGCAGCAGUGAGGAAUAUUGGUCAAUGGGCGGAAGCCUGAACCAGCCAAGUCGCGUGAGGGAAUAAGGCCCUACGGGUCGUAAACCUCUUUUGCCGGGGAGCAAGGGCCGGGACGAGUCCCGGUCCGGAGAGUACCCGGUGAAAAAGCAUCGGCUAACUCCGUGCCAGCAGCCGCUGUAAUACAGAGGAUGCGAGCGGUAUCCGGAUGUAUUGGGUUUAAAGGGUGCGUAGGCGGGCUUUUAAGUCAGAGGUAAAAAUUCGGGGCUCAACCCCGUCCGGCCGUUGAAACUGGGGGCCUUGAGUGGGCGAGAAGAAGGCGGAAUGCGUGGUGUAGCGGUGAAAUGCAUAGAUAUCAUACAGAACACCGAUUGCGAAGGCAGCUUACCAAUCUAUAUCUGACGUUGAGGCACGAAAGCGUGGGGAGCAAACAGGAUUAGAUACCCGUGUAGUC